rnacentral:rRNA from 1 species
GCCGCGGUAAUUCCAGCUCCAAUAGCGUAUAUUAAAGUUGUUGCAGUUAAAAAGCUCGUAGUUGGAUUUCGGAAGGUCUUUAGUGGUCCGCCCCUUCGGGGAGCGGGUCACUGGCCUCCUAUGUUCCUAACGGUCCUCAUCCGCGAGGGUGGGGAAUCAACCGCUAGGAUCGUUUACUUUGAGGAAAUUAGAGUGUUCAAAGCAGGCGUAACUCGCCUCCGAAUACGUUAGCAUGGGAUAAUGGAAUACGACUUCGGUCUUGUUUCGUUGGUUUCGCUUGGCUGAAGUAAUGAUUGAUAGGGACAGUUGGGGGCAUUAGUAUUUAGUUGUCAGAGGUGAAAUUCUAGGAUUUACUAAAGACUGACCAAUGCGAAAGCAUUUGCCAAGGAUGUUUUCAUUAAUCAAGAACGAAAGUAGGGGGAUCGAAGACGAUCAGAUACCGUCGUAGUCUCUACCGUAAACUAUGCCGACCAGGGAUCCGGAGAGUUUGCAUGGAUGACUCCCCGGGCACCUUGUGAGAAAUCAUAAGUGUUUGGGUUUUGGGGGGAGUAUGGUCGCAAGGCUGAAACUUAAAGGAAUUGACGGAAGGGCACCACCAGGAGUGGAACCUGCGGCUUAAUUUGACUCAACACGGGGAAACUUACGAGGUCAGGACACUGUGAGGAUUGACAGAUUGAAAGCUCUUUCUUGAUUCAGUGGGUGGUGGUGCAUGGCCGUUCUUAGUUGGUGGAGUGAUUUGUCUGGUUAAUUC